CAGGUCGAUGCCAAAUUACCUAAAAGACUAGGAACCUUUUACUCGGCAAAACUUGUUCUAAAGACAGCAAAUGAACGCAGAAUUAGUGUUAAUGUUCACAAAUAAAUGAAAUACCUGCUCUGGGAGUCUCUUUGACUAUUUCUACAUUCGGGCAUUGGGAUUUAGCCAUUCACAUUGGGCAGGGAAAUCUGAUAUAGUCUUUUGCUUACCGAGAAACUGAGAGGAGAGUCUUAUUUCCUUAGUACCAUUUUACGUCAUGACACUUUAAAUAUCGCUUUAUAAUUUAUUUAUAAUUCGCG